UAUAUCAGCUGAUAGCUAUGUUAUUAAUUUAAUGUAGAGGAAAGUCCGUGCUAAGACCAACUGAGAUGUUGGUAGUGUUUGUGUUAAACCUAAUAAGUUUAAGCUUAGACGACUAGCGCCACAGAGACGAGUAAAGUGAAACGCGGUAAACUCCACAAGCUAGAAACCCAAAUUUGGUAGGGGAACCAAAACGCGAGAAAUGAAUUAAGUUUUGGAACAUUUUCAAUGUUAGAUAAAUUAUCAGCACCUAUUUUAGGAACAGAACACGAGCUUUAUGAU
rnacentral:RNase_P_RNA from 1 species